AGCUACAGAAGAGGAGCACUGCCUAGGGAAAUAACAUGUGGAGCCACAACUCCCACACAUGUUAUGGAUGGGGAGCCGUGCCGAGAUGAGUUGCACUUGUGGUGGUAACUUAUCGGUUAAUCAGGCUGAAUCCUAUUAACUGUCACCCUAAGGUGAAGCGCUUCUGAGAUA
rnacentral:ncRNA from 1 species